UCCAGAAGAGCUUUUGUGUGCUCAGAAUCAAUUUCAUCUUGUUUUAUGCUACAAUCCGGAAACGUGAAUUCCUCUAGUAAAAACGAAUUUUCUGGUUUCAUUGUAGCUUGAUGUUCAAAUGGUUCCUGUUUUCUCUAGGACGACCAUUAUUCAAGGCCUCCAAUAGAGCUUCUUCUUUGGUAAAAUUAAUUACACAAAUGCUGAUUCAACACAGUGCAGUUCAAGGUGGACCGGGCAUGGUGACGAAUUUUUGGAGAAUGUGAAUUAUUAUGCAAAAUCAUGGUUGCCGGCGCGGUCUAUUGUUAUGGAGUGUCUUGCAGCAAGAGAAACUAUUGAUUCUAGUGGGGAGAUUAUAAAGCUAAAUCGAUCUUGUCCUUGGAGAUUUCACAUACAUGAGCUCCAGGAGGAAAUGAAAAUCAACCCUUCCAUCAAAUAUGUUCUUUACCAGGAUGAUAGGAGCGAGAAAUGGAGACUACAGGCAGUGGCAAUUUCACCGGCAAGAUUUGAGAGCAGAAAACCACUACCAUAUCUUUGGAGGGGUUUGGAAAAUGACAGGCUAUCUGAGGUUGCUGGAAUCCCAGGUUGUACUUUUGUGCACAUGAGUGGUUUUAUCAUUGCAGCAUCCAAC